rnacentral:rRNA from 1 species
GCAUAUCAAUAAGCGGAGGAAAAGAAAAUAACAAUGAUUCCCUUAGUAACGGCGAGUGAAGGGGGAUAAGCUCAAAUUUUAAAUCUACCAGGUUAACCUGGUCGAGUUGUAAUUUGAAGAAGCGUUUUCCGCGUUCGGGUCGGCCCAAAUCCUUUGGGAUAAGGUAUCAUGGAGGGUGAGAAUCCCGUUCGGCUGACCUUAGGAUGCUUUACGAUACGCUCUCAAAGAGUCGAGUUGUUUGGGAUUGCAGCUCAAAAUGGGAGGUAAAUUUCUCCUAAGGCUAAAUAACGGCGAGAGACCGAUAGCGAACAAGUACCGUGAGGGAAAGAUGAAAAGAACUUUGAAAAGAGAGUUAAACAGUACGUGAAAUUGUUGAAAGGGAAACGAUUGAAGCCAGUCGUACCUUCGGGUAAUCAGCCUUUCGAGUGCGAUUCUGUGGAGCGUGAGGAGUUAAACGCCUUCAUGACUGCAUAUUCGUGCACUUUGGGUGUACUUGCCCGUGUGGUAGGUUAACAUCAAUUUCGGAUGUCAUAAAAUGGCUGGAGGAAUGUAGCUUCGGUCUCGUACUGAAGUGUUAUAGCCUCUGGUAGAUGUGAUGACCGGGAUUGAGGAUUGCAACGAAUACCUUUUGGGCUAUCCGUCUGAUCUCUGAAAGUUGCUCUGGUGCCGAAAGCUUGCUUACGGUUAUCAAAGUUUGACGUUCAAAAGGUUAGAACGGGUUAAAUUCGUUAAGGAUGUUGACGUA